CAUCAUGCCCUUAUGUCUUGGGCUUCACGCAUGCUACAAUGGCCGGGUACAAAGGGCUGCGAUACCGCGAGGUGGAGCGAAUCCCAGAAAGCCGGUCUCAGUUCGGAUUGGGGUCUGCAACUCGACCCCAUGAAGUCGGAGUCGCUAGUAAUCGCAGAUCAGCAACGCUGCGGUGAAUACGUUCCCGGGCCUU
rnacentral:rRNA from 1 species